AUAACUACUUGGCAGGGGAGGUACUGUGUUCACAAAGGUGGUUUCCCCAGUGCAAGAAUCAUCUUUUCUAUUAAGUAUAUGCUAACUCCUAGGGGAAAAUUCACUGCAUAAUUUGUGCUAGAGGGGGAUUGUAUUUGUGUUUUCCCUUG
rnacentral:snRNA from 1 species